rnacentral:rRNA from 1 species
CACGUAGGGCGCAAGCGUUGUCCGGAAUUAUUGGGCGUAAAGAGCUCGUAGGCGGUCUGUUGCGUCCGCUGUGAAAACUCAGGGCUUAACCCUGAGCUUGCAGUGGGUACGGGCAGACUAGAGUGCGGUAGGGAGACUGGAAUUCCUGGUGUAGCGGUGAAAUGCGCAGAUAUCAGGAGGAACACCGGUGGCGAAGGCGGGUCUCUGGGCCGUAACUGACGCUGGAGGAGCGGAAAGCAUGGGAGCGAACAGG